rnacentral:rRNA from 1 species
AUUGAACGCUGGCGGCAUGCCUUACACAUGCAAGUCGAACGGCAGCAUGAUCUAGCUUGCUAGAUUGAUGGCGAGUGGCGAACGGGUGAGUAAUACAUCGGAACGUGCCCUGUAGUGGGGGAUAACUAGUCGAAAGAUUAGCUAAUACCGCAUACGACCUGAGGGUGAAAGUGGGGGACCGCAAGGCCUCAUGCUAUAGGAGCGGCCGAUGUCUGAUUAGCUAGUUGGUGAGGUAAAGGCUCACCAAGGCGACGAUCAGUAGCUGGUCUGAGAGGAAGAUCAGACACACUGGGACUGAGACACGGCCCAGACUCAUACGGGAGGCAGCAGUGGGGAAUUUUGGACAAUGGGGGCAACCCUGAUCCAGCAAUGCCGCGUGUGUGAAGAAGGCCUUCGGGUUGUAAAGCACUUUUGUCCGGAAAGAAAUCGCACUUACUAAUAUUAGGUGUGGAUGACGGUACCGGAAGAAUAAGGACCGGCUAACUACGUGCCAGCAGCCGCAGUAAGAC